AGUGAACGCUGGCGGUAGGCCUAACACAUGCAAGUCGAACGGCAGCACAGUAAGAGCUUGCUCUUACGGGUGGCGAGUGGCGGGCGGGUGAGGAAUACAUCGGAAUCUACUUUUUCGUGGGGGAUAACGUAGGGAAACUUACGCUAAUACCGCAUACGACCUACGGGUGAAAGCAGGGGAUCUUCGGACCUUGCGCGAUUGAAUGAGCCGAUGUCGGAUUAGCUAGUUGGCGGGGUAAAGGCCCACCAAGGCGACGAUCCGUAGCUGGUCUGAGAGGAUGAUCAGCCACACUGGAACUGAGACACGGUCCAGACUCCUACGGGAGGCAGCAGUGGGGAAUAUUGGACAAUGGGCGCAAGCCUGAUCCAGCCAUACCGCGUGUGUGAAGAAGGCCUUCGGGUUGUAAAGCCCUUUUGUUGGGAAAGAAAAGCAGCAGGUUAAUACCCCGCUGUUCUGACGGUACCCAAAGAAUAAGCACCGGCUAACUUCGUG
rnacentral:rRNA from 1 species